CUCACCUUCACUGCAACAAAGAAGGGUUGUUAAAGCUGGACACAGUCAUAUUACUAAAAAAAAAGAACUUCCGUUCAUCAAAAGACACAACAAAAAGCAAACCACAGAGUGAGAGAAGCUACUUGCAAUACAUAUAUCCAACAAAGGGCUCAUAUCCAGAAUUCAUAAUGAAUUCUACACCCAAUAAGAAAACAACAGACUGCCCAGUAGAAUAAUGAAUGAAGGAUUUGAAGAUACAAUUCACAAAAGAGGAUGUCCAAAUGGCUAACAUAUAUUAGAAUGUGCUCAAUAUUAUUAAUAUCCAGCACCACUAGACACACACUGUAAUGACUAAAAUUAAAAAGACUGUCAGUAC
rnacentral:lncRNA from 10 species